rnacentral:lncRNA from 1 species
GUCAAAUAGCAGGCCUGCUGAUUACGAUGGCUGUCCUCAUUCCCACUCUUUGUUGAUGGGAAGGAUUUGAAACAUGAGGAAGUAGCAUGCAAAAGGGAAGGUUAGUGUACAGCUGGUCUUAAUAAUCAGAACUGUGUGACAGAUAUUUAUAGACAUUUCUCUCGUAAUUUUAGCUCACCCAGACGAUAAUGGUCAGGACAUAUUGUUCCACUGCAUUUCCUUUGGUGGCUACACAUGGAUUUGAAGUCGACUAGACUGAUGCUGUUCAAACAGAUGCAAGACUCAUAGAGCUAACCUCCGGUGUAACAACAGAUGCCGUAUUAACUUUAACCAUAGGAACAAGCAAUAUUUUGAUCUGGACAAUCCAUAUUAACAUGUUCCCUUUCUGCUGUCCAUUACAUGGAUAGAACUCACUUCUUUCUGGAGGCAAACUUAGCAUGAAACUGGUGUUUGAAGAACCCAUUCAUAAUGAACUCACAGCUUAUACCGAGGGAAACAUACAGAGCAAAACCAGAAGACAGCAUUCCAAAAGAUAUCUAUCUAUGUUCCAGCACUUACUGUUUUUGGAGAGGGAAGUAUUCCCCUCCUGUGUGAAAGCCAAGGGGGAAUGCCUCCGUGAAGAAGGUGCCUUCCAUCAGCAGAUGUGACAAGUAUUUAGAUCACAAUUAAUAAUUUUAGAAUGUAUUCUCUAAUUAAACAUGGCUGCCUUUUUGACUGUGUAAAUGGUUUUUAACAGACCUACAAAUUAAUUGAUUUAAGAUUCCAGUUUCCCACCUAGCCUAAAACAAGUGAUUGACUGGGCAGAGUAGUUCCAUUAUUAGCUGACCUCAAGACUUAGUGCAGCAUCUGAAGCCGCCAGCUGAAAUGAGGGUGGAGGGAUGGAAAUAACAGCUGAAUGACCUCGUGUCCCAUUCUUUCUUCUAGUCUUGUUCAUGGUCUGAACUGUUUUCCUUUCUACUGCUUGAAAUGGAAAAGAAAUCCUUUGAACCGGCUGCAUGUGUGGUCUAUGUAGUUCUCUGUUGAAGGCAUGGCCAGGGAUUGAGAGGGCUUUGGAUAUUGUGGGCCAAAGGUUUUUUCUGAUCCAUGCCCAUGGUCUUCCCAAAUAACUGAAGAAAACCCCUGUAGACAUUUCUUUCUGAGAUAUUGGAGAGACCUUAGAAAAGAUUCACAAUUUAAUAAAAUAAAAUGACCACUUACUCA